UAAAGAAGAACACAUGAGUGCAGAAGGUAUCGAAUGGAAGGUGACAAAUGUAUGCGAUGUUUCUUUUCCUUUUCUUUCACUUCCUCUUCCUCUCUCUCUCACUGGAGUGGGAGAAGGGGGGAAAAACCAACCAACGGGGAAGACAGGAGGGAAAGGAAAUGAAGAGACGAAGAAAA
rnacentral:ribozyme from 1 species